AGUGUCGCCUCCAGACUCCCGUGUUUAAGUCUGGUAUGGCCAAACCCAUCCACCAUGCCUGAGUGCUCAUCAGGCAAAGGCAUGUCAGGGUUGGAAGGCAGGUAGUCAACAUUCCUUCACUUAUGGUGAGGGUAGAUUCGCAGAAGCACAUUGAUUUCUCUCUCACGAGUCCGUUUGGUGGUGGAUGCCCAGGAAGAGUGAAGA